AUUGAAAACACUGUCGACGGUUCCGGAUUGGUUAGAGAAAUCAUGCGACGAGAUAUUUUAAACAUUAUUCUCGUGAAUUUAUUAGUCAGUCACGGAUAUUAUGAAUAUGUAAAUCACUCGGAAUUCUCGUUAGCAAUUUUAUUUUUCAAUUGUACGCUAGUAAACGGAAGGCCGAAGUAAGUACUACUAUCGGAAUUAAAUUUUCGUCAACAGACUAAUGUGCGAAUGAAAAGCAGACGAUUGGAUGAACAAGUCACGUGAUCAAAUUUUAAAAACUAUCAAUGACGUGUUUAGGUUUGUUAACUAAAGCAUUCAAAAUAUUUCCGGUUUUGGAUGGCUGGAGCAGCGUCAAUGGACUGGUUAGAAUGGACCGGAUGACGUAAACCCCGUCUACCCGAUGACCAGACAGGCCUCUGUCCGAUGGACGGCCAGCCAGAUCGGUCGCGCUUCCUGUCCAGUUCGGCCGUGAUGGACACUGCCACACCCUCUCCUCUCUUCACGGAUUUGGCUCGACACACCGCCGGUCUGGUGCCCUCAUGUACAGCAGCCGACUCUUCUCUGCACAGCCGCUACAUCCAGGCAUCUCUUCCGCUUGGAUCGGGUGAGUAUAACCUUUUUUUUUUUUUUUUUUAAACCCAAUGUCUUUU
rnacentral:lncRNA from 1 species